ACAAUCAUGUGUCAGCUGUUACUUUUCUCAGCGAUGAUUUGAAUUGACCAAUCAAAUCGUUUGUUAAUAAUAUUUUUUUUUUUUUUUUUUUUUUUUUAAUCAUAUAAAAACGAGAUUGUGGGUCAGUUUUGCAUGCUAAGUGUUAACAAAUUAAUAGAUUUAACCAAAUAUACUUUUUAGUAAAUAAAUGUAUCCAAUAAUAACAUCCUGAGAUUUGAACACAGUCGUGGAGUCGGUUCUCAGCCAUGCGCCACCUGGAGGAAGACAACUUUUGUCCCACAGAAAACAUAAUCAAGCAACAUUUACCAUCCAAUGGAGAAGGCCUCUGCUAAACUAUUAAUAAGAGAGGGGGACUCCUUCUCUAAUGAAGAAACAGUCAACAAGUCCUGUCAGGAUGGAGUGUCAACAUACAGUUCAUCAACUAAUUGGACGAUGGAGAUGUGGCCCAGUUGAUACUUGGAUUUGCCAAGCAGCUAAUGCAUUAAAACAUGAAUUUAAAAGGCA